rnacentral:rRNA from 1 species
AUUGAACGCUGGCGGCAGGCCUAACACAUGCAAGUCGAGCGAGCGGCGGACGGGUGAGUAAUGUAUGGGGACUGCCCGAUAGAGGGGGAUAACUACUGGAAACGGUAGCUAAUACCGCAUACUAUCGGAUAACCCAUAUGGGAUUAGCUAGUAGGUGAGGUAAUGGCUCACCUAGGCGACGAUCCCUAGCUGGUCUGAGAGGAUGAUCAGCCACACUGGGCUGGAGACAGGGCCCAGCCCCCUACGGAGGCAGCAGUGGGGAAUAUUGCACAAGGGGCGCAAGCCGGAUGCAGCCAUGCCGCGUGAAUGAAGAAGGCCCUAGGGUUUUAAAGUACUUUCAGUGGGGAGGCUUUACCGACAGAAGAAGCACCGGCUAACUCCGUGCCAGCAGCCGCGGUAAUAC